rnacentral:lncRNA from 1 species
UUCCAGGCGCACGCGUGUCGGGCGGGCUGCCGCCGCGAGUAUUGAAGGCGCGCGCGAGUCCCGGCGCCCAGUGCAGACGCCAAACUCACCGCGCCCGGACACGCCGCCGCGCCCGGCAAACCACGCGUGCGACUCACGUGAUUCUCACGCGGGAGCGUGAACAAUUUUCGGAAAUUUUUUGUGUUAAUAACUGCAAAUUGCGGAUUGAGAUCGUACGUUUUGUUCGUAAAGUAGACUUCUUAUUGAAGUCGAUAGUGCAGAAAAGACACUGCUCGGUUUGCAAGUCUCAGAUUUGUUUAAGCUUAACUUGGUUGAUGGAAAAUAUACUUGGAUUAUUUUUCUCUCGUGGACAAAAAAUUAUGAUUUUUUGAAAUUCCAUAGGAACAUGUUUUUGUCGAGAUGGUGAUAUUUCAGUGCAUCAGCAUCGCACGGGCAAUAUGGAUGUGACGUGUCCUGAUGAGUGACUCGCCGUGCCGGCCACCAGAGAGCGUUGGCGGCGCAAAAAGACGAAGUACCUGGCCAGAAGGUGCCGGACGGUCGCCAAGCUUAGUCUGGCAAUGUUGCCGAGCUUUUCGUUAAUUUGACGGAGAUCGCAGAUUUGGCAACGCUUCGCCGAGCAUGGUAGCGAAAAGCAGCCACUCUCGCUACCUCAAAGACGGACUUAUGCUGUUUCUGUUUCCGCUCCAUUUUAUCCUGACAUCCGUUUUCGUUGCUCAAGGAGUUGGGGGUUUAAAGGACAUCAGAGUGGAAGUUCCUCAAUACAGAGUCCGAGGCGAAGACGCUGUUCUGAAAUGCCACUACGAUUUGGAGAAUGACUCUUAUAUGCGGUCAAGUGGUACAAGGAGAACGAGGAAUUUUACAGAUUCGUCCAGAGAGCCCACCCUCAAAUCACUUCUUACCGCGUCGAAGGAAUUAAAAUUGACUUGGAGCAGUCAAACAGCACGCAAGUAA